GCAAACUUGGUCAUUUAGAGGAAGUAAAAGUCGUAACAAGGUUUCCGUAGGUGAACCUGCGGAAGGAUCAUUGACGAAUUUGUUCAAGGCGAGACUCUCGGCUGUGCUGGCCCCUCAAUUGGGGAGCAAUGUGCACGUCGGUGCCUCGUCCAUCUCACACACACACACCUCUUGUGCACCGACGGAGGGAUUUGGACAAGUCGUAGGGUUUUGCAGUUGGGCCCCCCUUUGGGGGUCCUCGGCUCUACCUGGGGACCCAAGCCCCGAUCCCCUCCUCCCUUCACACACACCACAUGUCAGGUCGUGCAUGCUUGUAAUAGUUACAUUAACACAACUUUCAACAACGGAUCUCUUGGCUCUCGCAUCGAUGAAGAACGCAGC
rnacentral:misc_RNA from 1 species